rnacentral:rRNA from 1 species
UACGUAGGGACCAAGCGUUGUCCGGAAUCAUUGGGCGUAAAGAGCGUGUAGGCGGCCUGUUGAGUCUUGCGUGAAAUCUCGGGGCUCAACCCCGAGCGGUCGUGAGAAACUGGCAGGCUAGAGUGCUGGAGAGGAGAGUGGAAUUCCUGGUGUAGCGGUGAAAUGCGCAGAUAUCAGGAAGAACACCCGUGGCGAAGGCGGCUCUCUGGAACGCAACUGACGCUGAGACGCGAAAGCGUGGGGAGCAAACAGG